rnacentral:lncRNA from 1 species
UUAUGAAGACAUUCUUUGGAUACAAAACCACAAAGCAUACAAUUUACUCAAAAGACCCAAAAGCUGUCCCACAUGGAUCUUACAACAACACAAAUCAAUCCAGCUCAUAAUAAAUGAUUCCAAAACAAGUAGAAAUCAACAAAUAUCAAAUAAAGUCCAAAUACAAAUGUUUAUGCAAGCCGCAGAAUAAAUAACACAACCUUAAUUUAAACAAGCUAUAAUGGGAAGAUUAAACCAAAAGAUUCAAGUGGAACGAAAUAAAGAAAAAAAAUUUAUAAGAAAGGAAGCCUUCAUUUCUUCAAAAUCACAUCAGCCAUCUUUAUAUAUCUAGAAUCAGAGAUAGAUACCUGGAAAUUGAAAGGAAAAAUAAGUGAGGAAGCAGUAGAAAACAGCAGAGCAGAACCCAGUGAGAAGCAAUGAAACAGUAACCUCUUAGCAGCCUAAAAUCCCACUUUUAAAAUCCAAAAUCAAAUCAUCUUCAACCCAGGUAAGUGCUUGGGAAUUUUCAGAAAUUAUGGCUAAACAAGAAGCUAAGAAACCAGAAAUAAGAACUCAAUUUGGAUCAAUUUUCACUAAAAGAAGCAAAGAAUUCAAUAUUCUUCUUUUUGAGCCAGCCGUUUUAGUUUUUGAGGAAUUUUUUGCCUCUUUAAAAUCUAACUUGCAUAUGAAGAAAAGGUACCUUUAUAGACAAGGUAUUAGGGCAGCUAGAAUGCAUUUAGUUUUCCACUUCUACCCUUUUUUGAAUUCUC